UACUUUCCUAGACAUAGCCUGGGAUGAGAGUGAACUCACUUCAUGCAAGUCUGCAGCUCCAGGUUGCACUGCAAGGAGGACAAAGCCAGGUGGCUGUAUGCAUGCUGUGGAAAGCAGGAGCACUCCGAAUGAGUAACGGUUCCUGUACAGAUUCCUGGACGGAGCCUGGGAUGAGAGUGAACUCACUUCGCUCCAGUAUGCACCUCCAAGUUGCACUGCAAGGAGGAUGAUGCCAGGGGGUUCUCACCAUGCAUCGAACAAGUACAAAAUGUUUCACAGCAUGACUGCCGUAUGAGAGCAGGACUCUUAGUUGCAAACAGUACCUCACCUGUGGAGUGAUUGAAGUCCAGGGGCCUGGCCGGCUCACACUGUGUAGGAGCUCCUCAAGGCCUUCUCAAGCCUCCUGCUUUCCUGCCGGCUUGAUGACAGUCUCACUGCAUGGCAAAAUCUUCCAUAAGCAUAUCCCUGGAGGAGACAGCAAGUGAGGCCUGGAUCCCUGUGAAGCUGACUAGUCCCCAAAACUUGGGCCAUGCAGAAAGGUAUGAGUGAUGGCUCUCCCAGCUGUGAAGGGGUUCUAGUCAUUCUUUGGGAGGCAGCGAAGAUUGAAUGCCUGCUCACUGCGCAUUGAUUGGCUGUUUGAACCUUCUGCCAUUGGAUGUCCAGGGGAAGGGCAUUCUUAUUCAGGUACUAGGCUCCGUGCCUUUGUUCAAGAGGGUCCAGCAGGGAUAAUGGUGUGCUCACUCUGACCAAGUAGUCCUCAUGGGAGCCAUGCCUAGAAGAUGCACCGAGGGCAGAUUUGCUGCAUGCUUAGCGCUACUCACCAGCCCUCCCUAUGUCUGACUCUUCCAGGAGGAAAGCACAUUUCCGUGACUACCUAUCCUGAAUGAGUCCACCAGGUGGAGCCGAGGAACAGGGCCAUUUCACUUUGUUGUGGC